rnacentral:rRNA from 1 species
CUGCUCAAUGAAUAAUUUUAAAUAGCUGCAGUAUAAAUAACUGUACAAAGGUAGCAUAAUAAUUUGUUUUUUAAUUAAAAACUAGAAUGAAUGAUUUAAUGAAAUAUAAACUGUAUCAAAUUUAAUAAAUAAAUUUAUUAUUUAAAUAAAAAAAUUUAAAUAAAUUUUAAAGACGAGAAGACCCUAUAGAAUUUAAAUAAUAUUAUAAAAUUUUAUUUUAAUAAUAUUAUUUUAAUUGGGGAAAUUUUAAAAUUUAAAAAAUUUUUAAUUAAAAAAACAUUAAUUUUUGAAUUUAUAUUUUUUUUUAAAAAAUUAAAUAAAAUUACCUUAGGGAUAACAGCAUAAUUUUUUUAAAAAG